rnacentral:rRNA from 1 species
GAUGUUCUAACGUUGGCCCCUGACCGGGGUUGCGGACAGUGUCUGGUGGGUAGUUUGACUGGGGCGGUCUCCUCCCAAAGCGUAACGGAGGAGCACGAAGGUUAGCUAAUCCUGGUCGGACAUCAGGAGGUUAGUGCAAUGGCAUAAGCUAGCUUGACUGCGAGCGUGACGGCGCGAGCAGGUGCGAAAGCAGGUCAUAGUGAUCCGGUGGUUCUGAAUGGAAGGGCCAUCGCUCAACGGAUAAAAGGUACUCUGGGGAUAACAGGCUGAUACCU